UACAGAGGUGGCAAGCGUUGUUCGGAAUUACUGGGCGUAAAGGGCGCGUAGGCGGCCUACUAAGUCAGACGUGAAAUCCCCCGGCUUAACCUGGGAACUGCGUCUGAUACUGGAAGGCUUGAGGAUGGGAGAGGGAUGUAGAAUUCCAGGUGUAGCGGUGAAAUGCGUAGAUAUCUGGAGGAAUACCGGUGGCGAAGGCGGCAUCCUGGACCAUUACUGACGCUGAGGCGCGAAAGCUAGGGAGCAAACGGG
rnacentral:rRNA from 1 species